GGGUGUGAUCAUACCAGCACUAAUGCACCGGAUCCCAUCAGAACUCCGAUGUUAAGCGUGCUUGGGCAAGAGUAGUACUAGGAUGGGUGACCUCCUGGGAAGUCCUYGUGUUGCACCCC
rnacentral:rRNA from 1 species